rnacentral:rRNA from 1 species
CUACGGGCCGCUCCAGUGGGGAAUAUUGCACAAUGGAGGAAACUCUGAUGCAGCGACGCCGCGUGGAGGAUGACACAUUUCGGUGCGUAAACUCCUUUUAUAUAGGAAGAUAAUGACGGUACUAUAUGAAUAAGCGCCGGCUAACUCCGUGCCAGCAGCCGCGGUAAUACGGAGGGCGCAAGCGUUACUCGGAAUCACUGGGCGUAAAGAGCGUGUAGGCGGAUAGAUAAGUCAGGAGUGAAAUCCUAUGGCUCAACCAUAGAACUGCUCUUGAAACUGUCUAUCUAGAGUGUGGGAGAGGUAGAUGGAAUUUCUGGUGUAGGGGUAAAAUCCGUAGAGAUCAGAAGGAAUACCGAUUGCGAAGGCGAUCUACUGGAACAUAACUGACGCUGAGACGCGAAAGCGUGGGGAGCAAACAGGAUUAGAUACCCUAGUAGUC